UACGGGGGGGGCAAGCGUUGUUCGGAAUUACUGGGCGUAAAGGGCUCGUAGGCGGCCAACUAAGUCAGACGUGAAAUCCCUCGGCUUAACCGGGGAACUGCGUCUGAUACUGGAUGGCUUGAGUUUGGGAGAGGGAUGCGGAAUUCCAGGUGUAGCGGUGAAAUGCGUAGACAUCUGGAGGAACACCGGUGGCGAAGGCGGCAUCCUGGACCAACACUGACGCUGAGGAGCGAAAGCCAGGGGAGCAAACGGG
rnacentral:rRNA from 1 species